GACGAACGCUGGCGGCGUGCCUAACACAUGCAAGUCAACUUGACUGAAGGAGCAAUCUGACAGUAGAGUGGCGCAAGGGUGCGUAACGCGUAAGUAACUUGCCCAAGGUAAGGAAUAACGUCGAGAAAUCGGCGCUAAUACCUCAUAAUGCAGCGGAUCCGCAUGGAUAUGUUGUUAAAGGUUUACCGCCUUGGGAUAGGCUUGCGUCUGAUUAGCUAGUUGGUGUGGUAACGGCACACCAAGGCUACGAUCGGUAACUGGUCUGAGAGGAUGAUCAGUCACACUGGAACUGAGACACGGUCCAGACUCCUACGGGAGGCAGCAGUGAGGAAUAUUGGGCAAUGCUCGAAAGAGUGACCCAGCAACGCCGCGUGGAGGAUGAAGGUAUUCUAUAUCGUAAACUCCUGUGAGAGCAGACGAAAGACAGAUUAUAAUCUGGAUGACUGUAUGCUCAGAGGAAGCCCCGGC
rnacentral:rRNA from 1 species